rnacentral:lncRNA from 1 species
GACAUACAAAAGCAUGGGCGGACUUUUUUAUACCAUUAUUUUUCACGACUAAGACGAACGUAUAGAAAUUAGUCCAUCUAGUUUGUGAAUUCAUUAUUUUUGAAUAUUACGUAGUAAGAUUUAAGGAAAUUAAAAAUAUAGGUAUAAUAUACGAAUUAAAGUUUUUGAUUCUAAAACGUUAUACAUCUAUCAUAAAAUGCAAUCCC